rfam:TPA: Bos taurus chromosome 11, whole genome shotgun sequence.
UCCCUGGUGGCUCAGUGGUAAAGAAUCUGCCUGCCAUGCAGGAGACACAGAUUCGAUACCUGGUCUGGGAA